rnacentral:rRNA from 1 species
UACAGAGGUCUCAAGCGUUGUUCGGAUUCAUUGGGCGUAAAGGGUGCGUAGGUGGCGGGGUAAGUCAGGUGUGAAAUUUCGGAGCUUAACUCCGAAACUGCAUUUGAUACUGCCUUGCUUGAGGACUGGAGAGGAGACUGGAAUUCACGGUGUAGCAGUGAAAUGCGUAGAUAUCGUGAGGAAGACCAGUUGCGAAGGCGACUCUCUGGGCAAUAACUGACGCUGAGGAGCGAAAGCGUGGGGAGCGAACAGG